UACAGAGGUGGCAAGCGUUGUUCGGAAUUACUGGGCGUAAAGGGCGCGUAGGCGGCCUUGUCAGUCAGACGUGAAAUCCCCAGGCUUAACUUGGGAACUGCGUCUGAUACUACAAGGCUGGAGUUCGGGAGAGGGAUGUGGAAUUCCAGGUGUAGCGGUGAAAUGCGUAGAUAUCUGGAGGAACACCGGUGGCGAAGGCGGCAUCCUGGACCGAAACUGACGCUGA
rnacentral:rRNA from 1 species